UAUGAACGCUGGCGGCGUGCCUAACACAUGCAAGUCGAGCGGGGAUUUGGAAGGCGCUUGCGCCUUCUGAAUUCUAGCGGCGGACGGGUGAGUAACACGUGGGUAACCUGCCUUAUACAAGGGAAUAACAAUGAGAAAUCAUUGCUAACGCCCUAUAAGCUCACAGCUUCGCAUGAAGCGGGGAGAAAAUGUUUACAGGUAUAAGAGGGGCCCGCGGCUGAUUAGCUAGUUGGCGGGGUAACGGCCUGCCAAGGCGACGAUCAGUAGCCGACCUGAGAGGGCGAUCGGCCACAUUGGGACUGAGACACGGCCCAAACUCCUACGGGAGGCAGCAGUGGGGAAUAUUGCACAAUGGGCGCAAGCCUGAUGCAGCAACGCCGCGUGAAGGACGAAGGGUUUCGGCUCGUAAACUUCUUUAAGCGGGGACGAAGAAAAUGACGGUACCCGCAGAAUAAGCGCCGGCUAACUACGUGCCAGCAGCCGCGGUAAUACGUAGGGCGCGAGCGUUAUCCGGAAUGACUGGGUGUAAAGGGUGAGUAGGCGGUCUGGCAAGUCAUAUGUGAAAUCCCCGGGCUUAACCCUGGGACUGCAUAAGAAACUGCCGGGCUGGAGUGCGGGAGAGGUAAGCGGAAUUCCUGGUGUAGCGGUGAAAUGCGUAGAUAUCAGGAAGAACACCAGUGGCGAAGGCGGCUUACUGGACCGUUACUGACGCUGAGUCACGAAAGCGUGGGGAGCGAACAGGAUUAGAUACCCUGGUAGUCCACGCCGUAAACGAUGAGCGCUAGGUGUCGGGUCGAGAGAUUCGGUGCCGCAGCUAACGCAAUAAGCGCUCCACCUGGGGAGUACGGUCGCAAGAUUGAAACUCAAAGGAAUUGAUGGGGGCCCGCACAAGCGGUUGAGCAUGUGGU
rnacentral:rRNA from 1 species